rnacentral:rRNA from 1 species
GACGAACGCUGGCGGCGCGCUUAACACAUGCAAGUCGAGCGAGAACCAGGGCUUCGGCCCUGGGGACAGCGGCGAACGGGUGAGUAACACGUGGAUAACCUGCCCUCGGCACCGGGAUAGCCCGGGGAAACCCGGAUUAAUACCGGAUGGCCCUUCCGGCUUUCGAGCUGGUCGGAAAAGGUAGCUUCGGCCUCCGGCCGAGGAUGGGUCCGCGGCGGAUUAGCUUGUUGGUGGGGUAACGGCUCACCAAGGCGACGAUCCGUAGCUGGUCUGAGAGGACGAUCAGCCACACUGGGACUGAGACACGGCCCAGACUCCUACGGGAGGCAGCAGUGGGGAAUCUUGCGCAAUGGGCGAAAGCCUGACGCAGCGACGCCGCGUGAGGGAGGAAGGCCUUCGGGUUGUAAAGCUCUGUUGUUAGGGAAGAACAAGUACCGGAGUAACUACCGGUACCUUGACGGUACCUAACCAGAAAGCCACGGCUAACUACGUGCCAGCCGCCGCGGUAAGAC